CCCGGGCCUUGUACACACCGCCCGUCACACCACGAAAGUCGGUAACACCCGAAGCCAGUGGCCCAACCCUUUUGGGAGGGAGCUGUCGAAGGUGGGAUCAGCGAUUGGGGUG
rnacentral:rRNA from 1 species